rnacentral:rRNA from 1 species
CUGCUGCCUUCCGUAGGAGUCUGGGCCGUGUCUCAGUCCCAAUGUGGCCGUUCAACCUCUCAGUCCGGCUACCGAUUGUCGGUUUGGUGGGCCGUUACCCCGCCAACUGCCUAAUCGGACGCGAGCCCAUCUUUCAGCGGAUUGCUCCUUUGAUAUCAGUGCCAUGCGACUCCGAUAUUUUAUGCGGUAUUAGCGUUCGUUUCCAAACGUUAUCCCCCUCUGAAAGGCAGGUUGCUCACGUGUUACUCACCCGUCCG